rnacentral:lncRNA from 1 species
AACCUCAGUAACAUAACAUAUCCAGUUACCAGUAUAUACUACUUAAUCACGAGAGCUGGACUUGACACAGGAGGCGAAUUAGCUCUACAAUAUGCCACUGACGGAUCGAUUGUUGUAUUCGUAUUGCAAACCAAACAAACAAUGAGGAAACGGCGAAGUUAAUAAAGAUAAAUGACACUCAUAUUGUAUAUAUAGUUCCCUCAGUAUAAUUAAUUAUUAAUGUUUGUCAGAAUACAUUCGACUUGUAGCAAACAUAAUUUUUAUUACUGCUUCGAUUUCCGUUCAAAUAUGCAUUUGUUUAUGAUUGAUGUUGUAGUUAAUCUGCUAUCAAAAUAUAGAGUCAAAAUGGUGCAAAACGAAUUAAAGAAGUUAGUGUGA